rnacentral:rRNA from 1 species
UACAGAGGGUGCGAGCGUUGUUCGGAAUUAUUGGGCGUAAAGCGAGUGUAGGCGGGAUCGUAUGUCGGGCGUGAAAGCCCUCGGCUCAACCGAGGAAGUGCGCACGAAACUGCGGUUCUUGAGUGUCGGAGAGGGUGACGGAAUUCCCGGUGUAGAGGUGAAAUUCAUAGAUAUCGGGAGGAACACCAGUGGCGAAGGCGGUCACCUGGGCCUGCACUGACGCUCAUGCACGAAAGCGUGGGGAGCAAACAGG